rnacentral:rRNA from 1 species
AUGUUUGCUCUGUUUGGUUUAAAAAUAGAGCCAGAUGAGAGAGCAACUGAGCUUCCUACUCCUGAUGUGGAGUCUGACUUACAUGAUAUCAAAGAUGCAGAUAUUGUUGUUGACGAUAAGGCUCUAGAGGAGCCACUUAUGGCCUGGGAUGAACGAAACCCAGCCAUGGAUAUAGGGACACCUUAUCCUAACAUGGUUGAAUUUAGAAAGGCUUUAAAACAGUGGGCUGUCAAUGGAGAGUUUGAAUAUGGCACCAAAAAAAUGAGCCGGGGAGGUUUCAGGCUUUUUGCAAAGGUCAAUCCAUAA